rnacentral:rRNA from 1 species
AGAGUUUGAUCCUGGCUCAGGAUGAACGCUGGCGGCGUGCUUAACACAUGCAAGUCGAACGGAAACUUAUUGAAACCUAGUGAUAUAAGUUUUAGUGGCGGACGGGUGAGUAACGCGUGGGUAACCUGCCGUAUUCUGGGGGACAACAGUUGGAAACGACUGCUAAUACCGCAUAAGACCACAGUCUCGCAUGAGACAGGGGUAAAAGCUCCGGUGGAAUACGAUGGACCCGCGUCUGAUUAGCUAGUUGGUGAGGUAACGGCCCACCAAGGCGACGAUCAGUAGCCGGCCUGAGAGGGUGAACGGCCACAUUGGGACUGAGACACGGCCCAAACUCCUACGGGAGGCAGCAGUGGGGAAUAUUGCACAAUGGGGGAAACCCUGAUGCAGCGACGCCGCGUGAGUGAAGAAGUAUUUCGGUAUGUAAAGCUCUAUCAGCAGGGAAGAUAAUGACGGUACCUGACUAAGAAGCACCGGCUAAAUACGUGCCAGCAGCCGCGGUAAUACGUAUGGUGCAAGCGUUAUCCGGAUUUACUGGGUGUAAAGGGAGCGUAGACGGCAUGGCAAGUCUGAAGUGAAAGCUCGGGGCUCAACCCCGGAACUGCUUUGGAAACUGUCGCGCUAGAGUGCAGGAGAGGUAAGUGGAAUUCCUAGUGUAGCGGUGAAAUGCGUAGAUAUUAGGAGGAACACCAGUGGCGAAGGCGGCUUACUGGACUGUAACUGACGUUGAGGCUCGAAAGCGUGGGGAGCAAACAGGAUUAGAUACCCUGGUAGUCCACGGCUGUAAACGAAGAUUACUAGGUGUUGGCAACCAUAGGUUGUCGGUGGCCGCCGCUAACGCAUUAAGUAAUCCACCUGGGGAGUACGUUCGCAAGAAUGAAACUCAAAGGAAUUGACGGGGACCCGCACAAGCGGUGGAGCAUGUGGUUUAAUUCGAUGCAAACCGAAGAACCCUACCUGGAUUUGACAUACAUGUGGUAGUGAAAUGAAAGUGGAACGACCUUGGCUUGCUAAGGAGCAUGAACAGGUGCUGCAUGGUUGUCGUCAGCUCGUGUCGUGAGAUGUUGGGUUAAGUCCCGCAACGAGCGCAACCCCUAUUGUCAGUUGCUAACAGGAGAGCUGAGCACUCUGGCGAGACUGCCGCCGACAAGGCGGAGGAAGGUGGGGACGACGUCAAAUCAUCAUGGCCUUUAUGUCCAGGGCGACACACGUGCUACAAUGGCCGGCACAGACGGAAGCGACUUUGCGAAAAGGAGCGGAUCCUCAAAAGCCGGUCCCAGUUCGGACUGCAGUCUGCAACUCGACUGCACGAAGUCGGAAUCGCUAGUAAUCGCAGAUCAGCCAAGCUGCGGUGAAUACGUUCCCGGGCCUUGCACACACCGCCCGUCA